CCUACGGGUGGCAGCAGUGGGGAAUAUUGCGCAAUGGGCGAAAGCCUGACGCAGCGACGCCGCGUGAGGGAUGAAGGUCUUCGGAUCGUAAACCUCUGUCAGCAGGGAAGAACGGUCACUGUGCUAAUCAGCAGUGAAUUGACGGUACCUGCAAAGGAAGCACCGGCUAACUCCGUGCCAGCAGCCGCGGUAAUACGGAGGGUGCGAGCGUUAAUUGGAAUUACUGGGCGUAAAGCGCUCGUAGGCGGUAUGUCAAGUCAAGGGUGAAAUCCCCGCGCUCAACGUGGGAACUACCUUUGAAACUGGCAAACUGGAGUGUGUGAGAGGAUAGUGGAAUUCCAGGUGUAGGAGUGAAAGCCGUAGAUAUCUGGAGGAACAUCAGUGGCGAAGGCGACUAUCUGGCACAUAACUGACGCUGAGGAGCGAAAGCGUGGGUAGCAAACAGGAUUAGAUACCCUAGUAGUC
rnacentral:rRNA from 1 species